GGGGAUUUAGCUCUGUGAAACAGCACCUGCCUGGCAAGCAUGAGGUCCUGAGUUCGAUCCCCGAAGCCCCCA
rnacentral:tRNA from 1 species